AGAAUUAAACGUAGCAUUAAUUGGGUUUCUAUAUUCAUACGCUACUACUAAACUUUCGUACAUGUAAUUCCACCUAGUCGGGCAAGGUUUAGGAACCUCUCUUUCUCUAAGGCCAUAUUCGUCACAUUUUUUAAAAUAUUCUCUAAGUCUAGUUCUACGGUUUGAAUAAAAUAGCCAAUUAAGAGCCAUUCUCACCUUU
rnacentral:lncRNA from 1 species